rnacentral:lncRNA from 1 species
UCUUGCGAAUCUUUUUGUUAAGAAGAAUUUACUAAGACGUUUAACCAAGCUCAGGGACUGCUUUAAACUAUAUGAGGUUUCAAUGAGUUAUAGACAUGAUUAGGAAGGCUUCCAUAGAGAUCAAAGUGGCACAAAUCAACAUAGGCCACAUGGAAGCUAAAAGAAACAUAAAAGUUAAUGACCACAUGAGGGAUCAUGGGUACACAAGCUUAAGAGUUCACGACAACAAAGGAAAUCAUGGCUAUGUGUGACAUCCUAAUGCCAAGUAGAGGUCUGAUAGAGCAGACAUAAUAUAAAUAUUUACAUUGCAGCAAAACUAUACAUCCAAUACAAAGUUUACAAAAGACUAUAUACUGAGACCCAGUAGCCUCUUUACAUUUCAAAAUAUAAAAUAAGAGAUAACCUAGUUACAAAAUACAGAGACUUCACCAAACUACACUUUCCGAAAGGAAUCUAAACAGGGUUCUCCAGUGUUUUCCUCCAAAUUGUCAUUUGAAGGGGGGGAGUUGGAUUUGGAUGACUUCCAAUAGUUAGUAAGAUAGAUAGAAAUAAUACAAUAUAGAUACAUUUCAAAACCUUCAUUAAUGCGUACUUGAAAAACAAUAUUUUCGAAUUUAAUUAACAAAUCAAAUCAAAUGCCAUAGUCAAAUCCCAUAACUACUAUUCAUAUCCAACUCAAAUGUUCAUCUCAUACAAAUUAUUACAAGGACGCUUACUACCAUACUUGAUCAGGUUACACAACUCACACACCCAGGACCAAACUCGUCUUUUGACACAGUUUUAAUUACCAGUUAUUAUCUUAAUUUAAAUUACAUAGAUUAUAAACCUAUACGCGUAACCGCUUACACUUAUUUCCAAAUAUGGCAAAUGGGAUAUCAACUAGUCAUUAAUGGGUGUGCAAAUGUUUACAAACAUACAAUCAUAGAUAACAAAUACAAAUGUAAUUCUUUCAAGUCUCUCCAAGUCAACAUUAUUCAUGUCUUUGGGCCCAGAACAUUAAUAUCAAAUCACCUAGAGUCCCUAAGGACAACUAAACUACAUGUCUUAUUAAGGAACCAAAACCAACACCAAUAACAUAAGUCUCUUGAACAAAUAAGCAAACCAAAUAUCCUUAGAAGGAAGUAGGGUGACUUAGAUUUAAACCAGAUAUUUUGUAUAUUUAAAUUUUUUAUUUUUAUUUUAUUUAGUUAAAUUCUUAUACUUCAUUAUCUUUCUCUAAAGUCAUAAUUUUUAUUAUAAUUCUAGAAAAAUAAAAUCUUAAUUCUUCUCAAUAUUUCAGUUUGUUUUAUAACUUGUGAAUUUUCUUAUUUUUAUAUUUAAAUUCUAAUAUUACUAAGAGAAUUCAACUAUUUAUUAAGUGAUUUAGUUUUUAACUUUCUAUUUUAAUUUAAACCUUUCAUCCCUACUAAUUGACCCAUUUUUAUCUCAAAUAAUUCCCAUAAUCCCAAAUUUUACAAAACUUUU